rnacentral:rRNA from 1 species
AUUGAACGCUGGCGGCAGGCCUAACACAUGCAAGUCGAGCGGAUGACGGGAGCUUGCUCCUUGAUUCAGCGGCGGACGGGUGAGUAAUGCCUAGGAAUCUGCCUGGUAGUGGGGGACAACGUUUCGAAAGGAACGCUAAUACCGCAUACGUCCUACAGGAGAAAGCAGGGGACCUUCGGGCCUUGCGCUAUCAGAUGAGCCUAGGUCGGAUUAGCUAGUUGGUGGGGUAAUGGCUCACCAAGGCGACGAUCCGUAACUGGUCUGAGAGGAUGAUCAGUCACACUGGAACUGAGACGCGGUCCAGACUCCUACGGGAGGCAGCAGUGGGGAAUAUUGGACAAUGGGCGAAAGCCUGAUCCAGCCAUGCCGCGUGUGUGAAGAAGGUCUUCGGAUUGUAAAGCACUUUAAGUUGGGAGGAAGGGCAGUAAGCUAAUACCUUGCUGUUUUGACGUUACCGACAGAAUAAGCACCGGCUAACUCUGUGCCAGCCGCCGCCGUAA